rnacentral:rRNA from 3 species
CCUCCAAGGCUAAAUACUCCUGACUGACCGAUAGUGAACCAGUACCGUGAGGGAAAGGCGAAAAGAACCCCGGCGAGGGGAGUGAAAAAGAACCUGAAACCGUGUACGUACAAGCAGUGGGAGCACCCUUUUGGGUGUGACUGCGUACCUUUUGUAUAAUGGGUCAGCGACUUAUAUUCUGUAGCAAGGUUAACCGCAUAGGGGAGCCGGAGGGAAACCGAGUCUUAAUUGGGCGUUAAGUUGCAGGGUAUAGACCCGAAACCCGGUGAUCUAGCCAUGGGCAGGUUGAAGGUUGGGUAACACUAACUGGAGGACCGAACCGACUAAUGUUGAAAAAUUAGCGGAUGACCUGUGGCUGGGGGUGAAAGGCCAAUCAAACCGGGAGAUAGCUGGUUCUCCCCGAAAGCUAUUUAGGUAGCGCCUCGUGAAUUCAUCUCCGGGGGUAGAGCACUGUUUCGGCUAGGGGGCCAUCCCGGCUUACCAACCCGAUGCAAACUGCGAAUACCGGAGAAUGUUAUCACGGGAGACACACGGCGGGUGCUAACGUCCGUCGUGAAGAGGGAAACAACCCAGACCGCCAGCUAAGGUCCCAAAGUCAUGGUUAAGUGGGAAACGAUGUGGGAAGGCCCAGACAGCCAGGAUGUUGGCUUAGAAGCAGCCAUCAUUUAAAGAAAGCGUAAUAGCUCACUGGUCGAGUCGGCCUGCGCGGAAGAUGUAACGGGGCUAAACCAUGCACCGAAGCUGCGGCAGCGA